CGCUGUGCAAAAAGCCGGUCAGCAGAGGCCACAGCCGGCCAGCUCCGCAGCCUCCCUGGCAGUCAACGCGUGGAGGAAACUGCGCCUGGCAAUAUAAACAAGCCGGCGCGUCCGCUCCGACGACGACGAAUCCCGGCGCCUCCCUGUGAGAUUCCAAAGCGUGACUGAAAAGGCUUGAGAGUCGCAGCCGAGGUGAGGCGCCUGACACGUACGGCGCCGAGGCUGCCAAUCCGGCCCACGCUCUCCUUUACCGAGCGCAACAACAGUCAUUAAGAGAUGUAAUGGAUUAGCCACGGCUGGAAGGAAGGGAGACGGAGCGGCGGGGCAAAAAAGAGACAAACCCGGAUCGAAAUGAUGGAGAUUGACAGAUGAGUAAAAUGGAUUGGAUGGAGCGCUCUACGGAUGAGGCGAGCUGAGGCCGUCCGGCUGCAAUGGGAGAUAAUGGAAAGCGAUUACGGAUUAAAAACAAGGUUUCUCUCAUUCCAGGCUUGAAAAGGUAGCAAUGGUGCGAUUGGUUCAUACUGUCACUGAAUUUGGUCCACAAGAGCAA